rnacentral:rRNA from 1 species
GACAUAGGUCGCAAACGUUAUCCGGAAUUAUUGGGCGUAAAGGAUGCGUAGGUGGUUCAGUAAGUUACUGGUGGGAAAUCGAGGCCCAACCUCGUGGAAGUUAGUAAUACUGUUGAACUUGAGUGCAGGAGAGGUUAACGGAACUUCAUGUGGAGCGGUAAAAUGCGUAGAUAUAUGAAAGAACAUCAAUAUGGCGAAGGCAGUUAACUAUUCUGCUACUGACAUUGAGGCAUGAAAGCGUGGGGAGCAAAACGG